GGCAUCAGCAGACGCCUCCUGAUAAGAUAUCAUCACCAUACUUAUGCCAUGAUGCGAUAUCAUUGCGAUUUUAAACAUAUUGCAAUAUUCUGCAAUAUAUUGCAAUUUAUAACCUUUUUUCUUUCUUCUAAAAUUUCCCGAGUUCAAACGACGUCUCGAAAAGGAAGCUUUGUCAACAUCUGUUUUAUCAAAAUGAUACAUUUCUCUGUUUGUUCAUAUCACUUCAAUUUUAUUGCUGCAAAAUGGGAUUGUCAAGCAGACAAACUGACCACCACAUAUAUAACGUAUAAUAACAGAUUCAUACUUGGCGCCUGUGUAUCGAUACAGUAUUGCCAAUGAAAGUACAAUUUACUAAUAAUACUUAAGAGGAACAAAUAUGAGCAUUCAUUAGAUUAGAGACAAUUUAAGAUGAUUUUCAGAUUUACUAGACCCUGGAACCAGCUAGCGUUAAGCAUGUAUUACUGUUUUGAAGUUAUUGAAAGUGUACUUUAAACGUGUUUUGAGACUUGAUGCAUCAAAAAAGUGUUUGGAUUAUUUUUGGACACUGCGAUUCAGUUGACUUGCUAUCUGGCCUUUGGAUUUUUGCCUUCUCACUUUGGUGGUGUGUGUUUAUAUGCUGUGCACAUUUUAUGUGGAGUCAAGAAACCAGUAAAAAUAAGAUAAGUUUAUAUGUUAACAAAUACUUUUUUUCUCUUUUUGGAAUCACGUUUUUUUUCUCCUCAUUUGUCUGUUUUACUCAAGUCUUCCAGAUGAUGGCGGUAUAAAUCAGUUUUUAAUUAGUUUAAUUUUGCUUUUUUACUAUACCAAAUGCCAUAAUUGUUUGCUGAUUACAUUUUGGAUUUAUUAUUUUUAUUCAAUUACGCUAAUGUAGGAAUAGUGUGUUUUUAGUUUUCUCUUUGGAGACCUUUAUUUUACAGAUUUGUGCAUGGACAGUUUCAAAAUAAACUUCUGAGUUUGGUAUUUUGCAAAACUAACAUUAUGGAGACCAUUUAUUGUUUUGGCAUUUAACAGGAUGUUUUAAAGAAGACCGUUUCAUUUGUGCUUUCUCCAUUGUCAUUUUAACCGGUUUCAACUUUAACACAUCUGUUACUUUUUAUAAAUAAAAAU